UGGGGGAUAGCAAAGCGGCCAAAUGCGGGUGGCUGUAACCCACUUUCUUAGGAUUCGGGGGUUCGAAUCCCUCUCCCCCCACCA
rnacentral:tRNA from 1 species